rnacentral:tRNA from 1 species
GGAGGUUUGGCAGAGUGGUCGAAUGCGGCGGAUUCGAAAUCCGUUGAGCGGCGUAAGUCGUUCCCUGGGUUCGAAUCCCAGAGCCUCCGCCA